CAAACUUAAACAAUUGAAUAAUUUUGAAAUUUCUGUUGUUAUCGUAAUAUUUUUUCAUACUACGAGGUUUGCUUAUAUAAAGUAUAAAAUACAUUUCUCAUUGUAUGACCACGGACGGCCGAGUGGUCUAAACGAUAGACCUUUAUUCCAGGGGUCAGUGGUUCGAGCCCAGUUGAGGGUACCGCUUGGGUGUCUGUUCCCCACAUUCUCCUGGGAAUUUUGAACAAUCAUGUCGACUUAUAAAGUUGAACUUAUUUUGACUGUGGCGAGCGAAACCGAUCUGAAAACUGUAAUUGAAAGAGCAACGGAGGAUAAAAUGGCCUUCGAUGUGAUGGGAAGAGAACUUCGCUUCCAGGACAGUGACGAACUAAAGAUGUUAAAGGAAUGGUGCGAAGGCCAGGGAAUCAAACUUAUUUAAGAUUCCGACAUCAACUAUCAACCGGCAAAAUUUGACGACGGACAUGGCAAACCUGGCAGUCGACAAUAGGUAUUUCAACUUCUAACGGCACAAAUCGACGACGGACCUUCGCAUGGCAAACCUGAUUGGUGGAUUUAUGCAUGGACUUUUUCGACUCCCAGUCCAAGCGGAUAUAUCGAACUUAAGUUAUUGACACAUACUAUUACAAUGUGCAAAUACACCAUGCACGAAAUAUUCUAAAUCAGUUACUACAACUCAACUCAACAUAGACAGUUCUUUGAUGUAUGUAUAUUUAUAGCUAAAAACGAAGUCUGAGAGAGAAAAUUCUAACGUAAUUUGGACAUUUUUAUCAAUGUGCAACUGUGCAAAAUAUUUCGGAUGUUUCUAUAUCUUAAAAAUGUUUUUUUUGCCGUGAUCGGUGGAAUUGUGACAUUAAUAAUGGAUAAACCUAGUAUCAUAUUCAUCUGUUAAAUAUCAGCUAUAUAACAUAUAUAACAUGUAAUAUAUAUGAGUCGCGUUCUAGGAAAACCGGCCUUAAUGCAUGUGCGUAAAGUGUAAAGUGGAGUCGGCACAGGCUAAUCUGGGACAAUACUUUUCGCCUACACUCGAUUAUCGUUUAAAAGAGACCUCCUUUAAACAAAACAUUCCAUACACGCGGAAAGUGUCAUAAGUGUCAUGUCUCAUUAGACUGUGCGGAACGCACAUGCUAAUCUGCGACGACACUUAAUGCACGUGCAUUAAACCCAGUUUUCCCAGAACGCGACUCAUAUAUAACAUAUAUCAACUUCAAACCAUAGAUUUUUGAUGUUGAACUUUCUACAGUAAAUAUCUAUUGUCGACUGUCGCUUGUACGCUAGUUAGUGUAAAAGUUAUCUUAAAGGCAACAGACUAGAUUUUACACCUGGGAGAGGAUAAAUGUUUAUAAAAUAUCCUUGCUGGAAGUUUCAAGAAAACCUUGCAACUAUAACCUAAUUUAACAGCUAUAUAAUAUCUAUCAACUUCAAACUAAAGAUUUUUGCUAUUGAUCUUUCUACAGUAAAUGUAUAUUGUCGACUGUCGCCUGUAAGCUAUUUAAUAUAAAGGUAGUACUGAAAAGUAUGUCCCAGUAUAAUAUAUCUAUAUUGUGUGUUUGUUUGCAUAACUGAUAUUUUUUCCUAUUUGUAGUUUAGUUUCUUUUUAUAUUAAACUUUUAUCCAAAGACGUU